rnacentral:misc_RNA from 1 species
CUCUUAAGUAUCUUUUAGAAACAACUGAUGAUUAGGGCGCUUGACUUGUGCUUUGCGAAAACUACUAAUUUUAUCAAAAAAUUUAGUUUUAGAACUAAUUCUUUCGCAGUUUCCAUGUUAACUAAUCACAACUAAUGUUGCUAAAACUCUCUGCAGCUCAUGUCAAGAAAUAAAAGCAAAUACAAGGUUUUUAUAUCUUUGCAUAAGAGGGCGCAAUCUUCCAUUAACAAUUGAUUUGGCGGGAAGUUGUGUUAAUUGUAGCAGUAAUAGUAAUAUGAAAACUACGAGAUUACGGUUAAAAAUUACGUUUUGAUCCUGUAAUAGUAAAGAAGGGUAGUCUUAAACAAGUUAUCUUAAGAAUGGCCGAUGUUCAAGAAAUGGAUGUUGAUAGUGAAGAAGUAAAACUAAAAGAUGAUAAUGUCGUAAAUAAAACUAUCAAUCCUACACCUACCACUAGUAGGCCUAGUACUACUAGUAGUAUUACUAGUACUAACGUUAGUGGUAGUAGUACAUCAAAGAAAAGUGAUGGACGGCCAUGGAUAGAGAAGUACCGACCUGUGAAUUUUUCUGAUAUAGUUGGAAAUUCUGAGACAGUAUCAAGAUUAGAGAUUUUUGCAAAAGAAGGAAAUGUGCCAAACAUUAUUCUUGCAGGACCACCUGGUGUUGGAAAGACCACAACAAUCCUCUGUUUAGCUCGCACUAUGCUUGGUCCUUCCUAUAAAGAUGGUAUAUUAGAAUUAAAUGCUUCUAAUGACAGAGGCAUUGAUGUGGUGAGGAACAAAAUUAAAAUGUUUGCUCAACAGAAGGUCACUUUACCAAAAGGAAAGCAAAAGAUUAUCAUCUUAGAUGAAGCAGACAGCAUGACAGAGGGCGCACAACAAGCACUACGGAGAACCAUGGAGAUCUACUCAAAGACAACACGCUUUGCAUUAGCGUGUAAUACAUCAGAUAAAAUUAUUGAACCAAUCCAAUCCCGAUGUGCCAUGGUUCGAUUUGGAAAACUUUCAGAUGCACAGAUCUUGAGCAAGUUGCUUGCAGUGUGUGAAAAGGAAGAUGUAAGUUUCACAGAAGAUGGAAUGGAGGCUGUGGUGUUUACUGCACAAGGGGACAUGAGACAGGCUUUGAAUAACCUUCAGUCAACAUACUCAGGGUUUGGUCAUGUCAACAGUGACAAUGUCUUUAAGGUGUGUGAUGAACCUCAUCCUUUGCUAAUCAAAGAUAUGCUCCAACACUGUGUAAGUGGCAACUUUGAGGAUGCCUACAAGAUCAUGGCCCACCUAUGGAAACUUGGAUAUGCUUCAGAAGACAUUAUCAGUAACAUUUUCCGAGUCUGCAAAAAUGAGAGCAUCGCAGAAUACUUGAAGCUAGAAUAUAUAAAGGAAAUAGGCUACACACACAUGAGAAUUGUCCAAGGGGUUUCAUCUCUGCUACAAAUGUCUGGUCUGCUGGCAAAGCUGUGUCAGAAAGUGGCAGUUCCUGAUGUUUCUCAGUAAACGACAAUGAAAGGGAGGCUGGGUUCGAGUCCAAUGCCCGAGAAAAUUUGUGGUGGGGAGGAAACGGGACUACCCCGAGGAAACCCACUUUACUGGUAGAGUGCCAAAAAAUCCACUCUACCAGUGCCCUAUAAUUGCUGCUGUGGGUAAGGAUCGGAACAUACAUGAUUAGACAGUCAGCGUACGUAUAGUAUUAAAAGGGUAGGGUCUCCAAUUGGGCUUCUCCUUGACAGGAUCCCUUGCCUUCAUCUUGAAAAGCACUUUGAAGCUGACUUUGGAAAUGAGGAUCACAUUCUCGCAGAUGCUUUUCACCCAUGGUUUAAACUGAUUUGGAUUAGCUCAAACACUAGGAUAGAAACUGUAAAACAAAUGAUGAUUAAAAACUUUCAGAGAAGAUAGAAGGUGGCGGUGAUGAAAGUCAGCAAAUACUGAUUUAUGUGAUUUUUCAUCAUUUUUGAGCACCAUAGGAGAUGACGAAAAAGUCUUCUUCAUGUGCUUUAAACGACAAGUAAAAUCUACAAGUAAUUUGUCCCAAAGUAGCAACGAUCAAAUAACACUGGUCCUGAGCGAAGAACCAUCUACUUCAAAAGAUAUAGAAUGAAGCUUGUUCCCUUUACCAGCUUUUAAAUCUCUCUUCAUUUACUUCAAUACGACCGUUACAGCUGUAGAGCACGUUUUCUCAACAAGGAAAGACAUUUUGAAAUAAAAAAGAACUGGAUCGAUGGAUAACAAUUUUGAGGAGCUGAUCCUACUGAAAUUAAAUAAAUUAAAACAAUAAUAGAAUGGAACGAAUAAUAAGAUACGUAAUACAUUCUAAUAUUUGAGAUUAAUUAUUUCAUAUUAGCUUAUUAGCUCAUUUAUUAUUGUUACUGGUAUCAUAUUCGCUUAAUAUUUGACGCUGUGUUCUUUAAGUACUGUCAUUGAAUGUAUUGAAGACUGCGUGGUUGUUAGCUGCUUUCUUCUCAUCAUUCACAGAUAUGGAUAGGCUGUUCUGAGAAGUCUGUAUUAUGUUAUUUUAGCAAUAAAG